AUUUUCCCAUGAUGUCAAAGAAAGAGGCUCUGUGUUUGAGGUGUGCCUUUAUAUGCAUCCACAGGCGUGCCACCAAUUAACUCAAAUGGAGAUCUAAAACAGAAAAAGUUUACUCGGAUUUCAUGUAUGACAGUAAAGAAAUAAAAGUUUACUGAUAAGUUUUCUGAAGUGUAUGUAAAUAUCUGGUUUCAACUGUAUAUCAAUAAAUCAUAUGUUUUGCUAUGUUAA